AAUGCGUUUCAGUUUUGUGUAUAAACCGUUUCCAGUUCGUUGUUCGCUGCCAGGGUGGUACACAUUAAAUAUUUCUAUAUUAAGAGAAAUAUGUACCAGAAAUCGCGUUGGUUUCUUUUUUUAUAGUCGAAUUUUUUCCUGCUUUUUAUUAUUUCUCUUUCUCUUCUCAUCGUUUCUCCAAGUCUCCAAGUACAUAACCACGUAUCACAAACAACCUCACCAUCAAAUGAAAUGAAAAAAAAAAUUAUUCAUUUCCACAUUCACAAUUGAAAAAUUCUUUUUUUUUAUUCGGAUCGGGUUGGAGAAGUAAAUGUUCGGUCGGUGUUGGCGGCGGCAGUUGCUACCGAUGGGGACUCUACAACCAUUCAUCGUUCAACGUUCGUGCCGUGUGGCGACAAAACUUAUAGAUUGUGUUUUCUGAAAGUGAAGAAAAUUUGUUCAAACCAACAAAAAAGAAGUUUUUUUUGUCUUAUUAGAUGUCUAAGAAAAGAUGUGAGAGAUUUAUUCGAAAUAUUUUUUUUCUGUUGGUUGUUCAACAACGAAAUAAUUUUUUAACAGUAAGGUGAAGCGAGAUGAUAUGAAUGGAAAAUUUUUAUAAUUAAUUAAUCGAGUGAUACAUAGUGAGUCUAAAUAAAAUAUUUUUUUUUCGUUGAACGAUUAAAUGAUUAAAACUAUGGAACAUUUUUUCAAUAAAUUCUGAACGAAUGAAUAAACAUCGCGCUCAUCAACCGAGAUAAAAAGUGCUUCGUCAAUUUAACGAAAACAAAAAAUAAAUUUAAAAUAAAAUUCUUGCAUUCGACGACUGUUCCGAGAUCUAUCUUUAAAUAAACAAUUUUUUUUUCGUUCAAAUAAAAACAGCUCGUAUCGAGCAACUGAAACAAAUAAAAAAAAAAUGUUCGCCUUGUGACACCAAUUGGCCACGUGUUCGUUUAUUCAAAUCUUUGGUUCAAUUUUUUUGUAGGUUCGUCGUUCGUUUGUUGUAAUUUCGUUUUUUAUAUACCUAACAUGAGUAUAUAAUGCUCUUUGAUAAGUCAAAGUUUAACAUUCGCACAAAAAAGAUUACAAAAAAUGAUAUUUCUGUGCACGAAGACGAAGACUUAUAAAAAACUGCGAGCUGUUGUGUAUACACUGCACUUUGAAUAGUAACUUAUUGAACUUUUGGAAGAAUUUUUUUUAUAUUAUAAUAAAUAGGAGAAGAAGAAAAGAAAACGAUUUAUGUGAAAUAUAACCGACGUCAAGAGGAGCCAAGAAAUCUUCAAAAUUCUUUCUUUUAAUUCAAUUUGUGUGUUUUUUGAAAAGACAUGAGACAUAUUGCUGGCUCGUUUUGGUUUUUUGAUUUCGUUCUGUUGAGUGAAAGGUGAUUGGCAAAGUCAUGCGAUAAGUGAUCGACUCAACAAAAUGCGAUAGAUGGAAGAAAAAACAUAGUCGACCUGCUGAUGAUAUUCUGUCAAGGUUCGAGUAUACGAAAAACGCUCCUAAAUCAAGACUCUGUGCCAUUAUGUCAACGAUCAAGUACGCACACAAUCAAGUACGUGCACACACACACUUACAAAACGUUCAUUAAAUGAAGAAUACUUAGUCCAACUGGAGAUCCAGCACCUCUGGAUAAACAAAGUGUCCAUGCUGCUUAAAUAGCCAAUGACCCAACAAUACUAUUUCAUUACAUGGAACAUACUUUUGUUUUCGGUGAGAAAAUUCUUUUGUUGCUGCUGUAAGAAACUACGUAUACGAGCGCUUGGUAGAGUAUUAGUACGAGUCGCCUUUAUCAAUAAGGCUCUAGGGAAACAAUAAAACUGGUGAUAUAAUUUCGCUUUCAAAUUCUUUAGUAAAGCCUAGUUUAUACGAGCGAGAAUAUACAUUUUUCGGUGAAGGUAUGGCUAUGAUACUUGCCAUAAUGACACUAUGUUCAUAAGAUUUUUGUCAAAUUUUUAUUUUCGCUCGAUGUAUAGACUAUGCCUAAAUGAAAAAAGGGGUCAGACGAACGAAAUCAGCCGAACCUAUUUUUUGACCGGCUAACAUUCCCGAUCAAGACAAUCGAAUGAAACCGUUUCGUUUACUUAACGUCUAAUUGUCGACAAAUUAACUCCAAUUGCCCGACUAACCGUCGUAUCAAUAAUUGAUCAAUCUGAAACUCUUCAUUAAAACUGGAAAACUACAAACUUAUUACAACAAACCUCAAAGUAACUCAGAAUGCUAAGGAGCUCGGCACCACUCUAUACUUAAAACGAAAUUACAAUAAUCGAGACCGAUUACAUUCAAUGAUUAGCCGGGGAGGGAAAAUUAGGUGCCAAUUAACUUUUCGAUCAGAAAACUAUACUGUAAUAUCCACACUCUUACUUUUCCCUUUUUUAUUAUUAUUAUCCGACCAACUCAGCCAACCAACAUUGUACUAACCCCGGUCCGUGUAUACACAUUUUAUAAUUAGCUUAUUUAUUACAAAUUACGUGGAAGCCCCUACGUUUAAACAGCAAAAAAGAAAGAAAAAUGCUCCGUGUACAACAACCGAUUAAUAAAUUAAAUACCAAAAAGCACAUAUUUAUCCCCACAUCAUAUUCCACAUGUACAGUAGAUAAUCAUACCGAAUAAUAAUAAUAAAAUGAAUAACUCAUUCAUUUACUUACUUUGCUCGGUUAUGAGUAGGGGGCCGUUCAUAAAGGACGUCCGCGUUGUCUACUAGAUUUUCGGCACACCAUCUCCCCUUGUCACACUAUGUCCCCCCGGGGGAUGUCCACUUUUAGUUAAAAACGAAUUUUCUUAAAAUUCGAAAAAUAUUAUGAGAACUUAACGUAAUUGCGCUCGAAUAAAAAUUAGUUAUUUUUAUUACUGUGCCAUGUAUUUCUUAUGGCACAAUUAUUAUCGCACUCCAAUUUUAGA